rnacentral:rRNA from 1 species
AACGAACGCUGGCGGCAUGCCUAACACAUGCGAGUCGAACGAAGGCUUCGGCCUUAGUGGCGCACGGGUGCGUAACGAGUGGGAACCUGCCCUUAGGUUCGGAAUAACAGUUAGAAAUGACUGCUAAUACCGGAUAAUGUCUUCGGACCAAAGAUUUAUCGCCUUUGGAUGGGCCCGCGUAAGAUUAGGUAGUUGGUGGGGUAAAGGCCUACCAAGCCGACGAUCGUUAGCUGGUCUGAGAGGAUGAUCAGCCACACUGGGACUGAGACACGGCCCAGACUCCUACGGGAGGCAGCAGUGGGGAAUAUUGGACAAUGGGCGAAAGCCUGAUCCAGCAAUGCCGCGUGAGUGAUGAAGGCCUUAGGGUUGUAAAGCUCUUUUACCAGGGAUGAUAAUGACAGUACCUGGAGAAUAAGCCCCGGCUAACUCCGUGCCAGCCGCCGCCGUAAAAC